AUUUUAGUUUUUAUUAAUGUUUGAUUGUGUUUUCGUUUCUUAUUAUGACCUAUCGUGCGACAUGGAAAACAAAUGUUCUACCAAAUUUUAUUGUUUUCUUACCUGUUACUAACGACUAAACAAGGAGUUCGCCAAUUUCUUUCGAAUUUUACAAGGGGUUCGCAAGAAGAAAAAGGUUGGGAACCACUGCUCUAAGGUCCCAUACUCCUUUAAGAAGAUUCUAUCAGAUUCCAUUUACAUAUUACCCAAGUAUAAAUUAUUACAUUAAAUAAAAUAAAUACUAAUACCCAGAGAUCGAGUCUCAUAUUCGCAGCAUUUGGUUCCCAUACCCCAAUGGGUAUGGAUACUCCCGGUUAAGAACCCCUGCCUUACAGAAAUGCCGCGGUCCCCAGCGUA
rnacentral:lncRNA from 1 species